AGGAAAGAAGGUGCCACGUGUA
rnacentral:siRNA from 1 species